GACCCACCCGUUCCCAUUCCGAACACGGAAGUUAAGCUCUAGAGCGCCGAUGGUACUGCAGGGGCCACCCUGUGGGAGAGUAGGUCACCGCCGGCC
rnacentral:rRNA from 1 species